rnacentral:rRNA from 1 species
CUUCUUUUUCACCGGAGCUUGCUCCACCGGAAAAAGAGGAGUGGCGAACGGGUGAGUAACACGUGGGUAACCUGCCCAUCAGAAGGGGAUAACACUUGGAAACAGGUGCUAAUACCGUAUAACAAUCGAAACCGCAUGGUUUUGAUUUGAAAGGCGCUUUCGGGUGUCGCUGAUGGAUGGACCCGCGGUGCAUUAGCUAGUUGGUGAGGUAACGGCUCACCAAGGCCACGAUGCACAGCCGACCUGAGAGGGUGAUCGGCCACAUUGGGACUGAGACACGGCCCAAACUCCUACGGGAGGCAGCAGUAGGGAAUCUUCGGCAAUGGACGAAAGUCUGACCGAGCAACGCCGCGUGAGUGAAGAAGGUUUUCGGAUCGUAAAACUCUGUUGUUAGAGAAGAACAAGGAUGAGAGUAACUGUUCAUCCCUUGACGGUAUCUAACCAGAAAGCCACGGCUAACUACGUGCCAGCAGCCGCGGUAAUACGUAGGUGGCAAGCGUUGUCCGGAUUUAUUGGGCGUAAAGCGAGCGCAGGCGGUUUCUUAAGUCUGAUGUGAAAGCCCCCGGCUCAACCGGGGAGGGUCAUUGGAAACUGGGAGACUUGAGUGCAGAAGAGGAGAGUGGAAUUCCUGUGUAGCGGUGAAUGCGUAGAUAUAUGGAGG